UCUAAGGAGCACCUCGUUCCGAAAGGAACGCAGGAGCCCACAUCAGUCGAACGAGUUGAUGGGGUGCUCAAAGGCGGAGACACUGGCCAGUCAGGACCGGCAACGGUUCUUCACGUGAGUACAGCCGGCGUGCCGGCACGGAAAACGGUGAGGGAUGCGGCUGGAUUUCCUGGCGACAAAACUUGCACCCUGUUGGGUAUCUGAAGGAACAACCGUCGCGGUGACGAUUACCCGCGGUUGUUUUUCAAUGCCAGGCAAGGCUUGGAUGGCAUACCUGCCACGUUGUGGUGAUGGUGUCUUCUGGAUGGUCUUGGGUUGGUCGUUGGUUGAGAAUUGCACAGUGGACGCGAGCAUCUUGUUUUCUGUGGUUAAGUUGUCAAGGGCGAACGGUGGAUGCCUUGGCACCAGGAGCCGAUGAAGGACGUGGGAGGCCGCGAUAGGCCUGGGGGAGCUGUCAACCUAGCUGUGAUCCCAGGGUGUCCGAAUGGGGAAACCCGG
rnacentral:misc_RNA from 1 species